GAUGAACGCUGGCGGCGUGCCUAAUACAUGCAAGUCGAGCGAACGGACGAGAAGCUUGCUUCUCUGAUGCUAGCGGCGGACGGGUGAGUAACACGUGGAUAACCUACCUAUAAGACUGGGAUAACUUCGGGAAACCGUAGCUAAUACCGGAUAAUAUUUUGAACCGCAUGGUUCAAAAGUGAAAGACGGUCUUGCUGUCACUUAUAGAUGGAUCCGCGCUGCAUUAGCUAGUUGGUAAGGUAACGGCUUACCAAGGCAACGAUGCAUAGCCGACCUGAGAGGGUGAUCGGCCACACUGGAACUGAGACACGGUCCAGACUCCUACGGGAGGCAGCAGUAGGGAAUCUUCCGCAAUGGGCGAAAGCCUGACGGAGCAACGCCGCGUGAGUGGUGAAGGUCUUCGGAUCGUAAAACUCUGUUAUUAGGGAAGAACAUAUGUGUAAGUAACUGUGCACAUCUUGACGGUACCUAAUCAGAAAGCCACGGCUAACUACGU
rnacentral:rRNA from 1 species